rnacentral:antisense_RNA from 1 species
CCAUUGGGCGGGCCUUGGCGGGGGAGCCUCCGGGCUCGCCGGUAUGUGUGGCCGGUCUGUCAACCCUGCCUCGUGCCCGCCCACCCC